GACGUAGGGCGCGAGCGUUGUCCGGAUUUAUUGGGCGUAAAGAGCUCGUAGGCGGCUUGUCGCGUCGACUGUGAAAACCCGCGGCUCAACUGUGGGCUUGCAGUCGAUACGGGCAGGCUGGAGUUCGGUAGGGGAGACUGGAAUUCCUGGUGUAGCGGUGAAAUGCGCAGAUAUCAGGAGGAACACCGGUGGCGAAGGCGAGUCCCUGGACAACACCUGACACUGAGGCACGAAAGCUAGGGGAGCAAACAGG
rnacentral:rRNA from 1 species